rnacentral:lncRNA from 1 species
UAAACGCGCUUCGCGCCGGUGUCAACUAACGUCAAGGUGCCCAUGCUGCGAGUGCAGUCGUAACGCUUUGACGUUGGAUCCGAGCCCAUGGAGAAAGUUGGAGCUGUAGAGCUGUAUGUUUUUGGACAAAGUCACCAAUUCCAUUGCUCUUCCUAUGCCAAGUGGCCAG